CCUACGGGGGGCAGCAGUGGGGAAUAUUGGACAAUGGGCGAAAGCCUGAUCCAGCCAUGCCGCGUGUGUGAAGAAGGCCUUCGGGUUGUAAAGCACUUUCAGUGGGGAAGAAAGCCUUGGGGCUAAUACCCUCGAGGAAGGACAUCACCCACAGAAGAAGCACCGGCUAACUCCGUGCCAGCAGCCGCGGUAAUACGGAGGGUGCGAGCGUUAAUCGGAAUUACGGGGCGUAAAGCGCGCGUAGGCGGUCUGAUAAGCCGGUUGUGAAAGCCCCGGGCUCAACCUGGGAACGGCAUCCGGAACUGUCAGGCUAGAGUGCAGGAGAGGAAGGUAGAAUUCCCGGUGUAGCGGUGAAAUGCGUAGAGAUCGGGAGGAAUACCAGUGGCGAAGGCGGCCUUCUGGACUGACACUGACGCUGAGGUGCGAAAGCGUGGGUAGCAAACAGGAUUAGAUACCGGGUAGUC
rnacentral:rRNA from 1 species